GCCGAUUUUGUCUAGUCGGAUUACAAUCGUGCCUAUGUCGUGACAGAUUCUGCUGUAUCGGAUCGAAUUCCUAACAAUGUUCUGUGUAUUCUGGACGGUGUCCUGUGGAACGGGAAUGAUCUGGAGAAGUCCCGACAAUAACAGAAUACAAUACGACUGAGACCAGACAAAGCCGUUUGCAAUGCGAUAGAGUGGACCGUGAUAGGAUUACGUUCCGACAGUACCUGAUCAUCCAGAUUAUGCCGACAGUUUUCGAACGGAUAACUUCCGUCAGCGUCGGUUCACUGUCUUGUCACUA
rnacentral:lncRNA from 1 species